AGAGCGUGUGGGGCACCUCAACAGGCGCAGUGUGCAGAGUGCAUCUCUCCACUUGUCGCACCCCAGAGGGGCCCCACAGUGCAACCACUCCUAUGUGCUAAUAUGUCCACAUCAGGAGGUGACAUCAUAUCAUCCUGAAAAAGAAAGGGGAACUGACAGCAGCACUCUGGCCACUUCCUUUCCCCACUGCAGUCUCACUGUCCCCAAGCUGCUCCUGCCUCAUGGCAUCAAUGGCGGUGAACCUCAUUCUCGGUGAGUGACCAUGGGGAUGUGGUGCCACGGGGGUUGGUGGCCCAGUGUGGGACCAGGACUGUGUCCCUUGCAGGUUGGUGGCUGGUGGCAGCGAGCAGGGCACAGCAAUAUGUCAGAUAUCCCCCAUCCAGCAUUUCCCUUCACCCUGAGCAACAUGUGGGAACAGGGACCAAUGUCACCAUCCGCUGCUGGAACAAUGAUUAUGGGGCCACCUUCUUCCUGCACAAGGAUGGGAGCUCAGACCCUCUCCAGUGCCAGGACUCCAGUGGUGGGGCACAGCCACUUUCACCCUCUUUGGGGUGACCCCAGCUGACAGUGGCACCUACAGGUGCUCCUAUCACCCCAAGAACUACUCCUUUCUUUCCUCACCCCUUGGGGACAGCAUGACGCUGGAGGUGACACCCACACCUGCACCCCCAGGUAGGUACCUGCCCCCCAUGUGUUUGUCCCCAGUGCCACCCAUGGGUGGCAGUGUCAUCACAUCCCUUCCCCAUGGAGCUGAUGCUGGGGAUGAACACACCCAAGUACCUGUACCCCACAGGUGCUGAGUUGGUGUCCCGUGGGAACCUGGUGGUGGCAGUGGUGAGGGGCUGCGCUGCUGUCCUCAUCUUUGCCCUCGGCAUCUUCUUUGUCAUCGAUGCCCGCAGCCUCUGGAUACGGAGAGAUGAGAGUCUGGGUGGGGAAGGGAUUUAAUGGCUUGGAUCUCCUGUACAUCUCCUACACAUCUCCCCAGUCUUUCUCUUCCUCUCCUUCCAUUCCUCGGUAGAAUCCACCAGGUGUACCAUUGGAUCCACUAUACAUUGCCUAUCGAUUCCCUCAGAUGUUCCCUGCCCCCAUUCCAUUACCUAUAAAUCCAUCAUGUAUCCCCUGCCUCCCCUUCCAGACCCUAUAAAUUAUCUAGUCCCAGUCAUCUUGUGCAUCUGUGUCCAUCAUUUACAGAUCCACUAUAAAUCCACCCAAGUGUUACCUGCCUCCACCUCCACCCCCUGCCUAUUCUCACAAGUCCAACAAGUUUCACACCCCUUUCAUCCCCCAUAACCCCACAAUGAUCCCCUUCUGUUUUAACUCCAGUGCCUAUUCACAAAUUCCUGAGGCUGUGCACUUCCAAAUAGGUCUUUGGGUCAGGGACCCC
rnacentral:lncRNA from 7 species